CACAUCAAACCUCUUCAGCUUCCUCUCUUCCUCUCAACCUCUCAACUUUUCUUCUUCUCUCUUACUCCACCAGUGUUCGUCCUCCACCUACCUUACACCAAUUUUCUUCUUCUCAAACUUUAUUUGUCGGUUGGAUAUGGAAUUUUUACUCUCAGAUUCAUGAGCACAAUGAGUAACACCAAAAAGAUCUACUUUUCUUUGUUGUAUUUCUCUGUUCGAUGGAUGUUUUGCAGUCAGAUUCACAAGCACAAUGAAGAACACAAAAAAAGAAUGUUUUGCUAUCAGAUCUACUUUUCCUGGUUGUAUUUUUCUGUUCGAGGAUGUUUUGCUCUCAUAUUCAUGAGCACGACAAAGAACACCAAAAAGGUAACAACUUUUUUGCUUCUUUGCGAUUUUUGUUCUUCUACCAUAUUUAAACACUUUUCUUGUAUUUCUUCUCUGCUGGAUGAAUGUUUUCUUGUGAGAUUCAUGAACACGGUGAAGAACACCAAAAAGGUAACAACUUUUCUUCUUCUUUGUGAUUUUUUUGUUCUUCUACCAUAUGUAACUACUUUUCUUUGUAGUAUUUUUCUUUUGGAUUAAUGUUUUCUUGUGAAAUUCAUGAACACUGUGAAAAAUAACAUAAAAAAGGUAAUAAUUUUUUGUCUUCUCUCAUAUUUUUAGUUCUUCUAUCAUAUUUCACUACCUUUCUUUGUAGCAUUUCUAUUUUUGAUGAAUGUUUUCCAGUCAGAUUCUUAAACACAUUGAAAACACCCAAAAGGUAAAAAAUUUUGUUCUUCUCUUCGAUUCUUUGUUCUUCUAUCAUAUGUAACUAUUUUUUUUUUGCAGUAUUUGUCUAUUAGAUCAAGGUUCUUUUUGUGAGAUUUAUGAAAUUAUUGAAGAAUGCGAAAAAUGUCUAUGUUUUUCUUCUUCUAUCCAAUGUUUUCUCUUCU